rnacentral:rRNA from 1 species
AUUGAACGCUGGCGGCAGGCCUAACACAUGCAAGUCGAGCGGAUGACGGGAGCUUGCUCCUUGAUUCAGCGGCGGACGGGUGAGUAAGGCCUAGGAAUCUGCCUGGUAGUGGGGGACAACGUUUCGAAAGGAACGCUAAUACCGCAUACGUCCUACGGGAGAAAGCAGGGGACCUUCGGGCCUUGCGCUAUCAGAUGAGCCUAGGGCGGAUUAGCUAGUUGGUGAGGUAAUGGCUCACCAAGGCGACGAUCCGUAACUGGUCUGAGAGGAUGAUCAGUCACACUGGAACUGAGACACGGUCCAGACUCCUACGGGAGGCAGCAGUGGGGAAUAUUGGACAAUGGGCGAAAGCCUGAUCCAGCCAUGCCGCGUGUGUGAAGAAGGUCUUCGGAUUGUAAAGCACUUUAAGUUGGGAGGAAGGGCAGUAAGUUAAUACCUUGCUGUUUUGACGUUACCGACAGAAUAAGCACCGGCUAACUCUGUGCCAGCAGCCGCGGUAA